UACGUAGGGGGCGAGCGUUGUCCGGAAUUAUUGGGCGUAAAGCGCGCGCAGGCGGUUUUUUAGGUCUGAUGUAUAAGUUCAAGGCUCAACCUUGGGACGCAUUGGAAACUGGGGGACUGGAGUGUAGGAGAGGAAAGUGGAAUUCCACGUGUAGCGGUGAAAUGCGUAGAGAUGUGGAGGAACACCAGUGGCGAAGGCGACUUUCUGGCCUAUAACUGACGCUGAGGCGCGAAAGCGUGGGGAGCAAACAGG
rnacentral:rRNA from 1 species